rnacentral:rRNA from 1 species
CCUACGGGAGGCAGCAGUGAGGAAUAUUGGUCAAUGGACGCAAGUCUGAACCAGCCAUGCCGCGUGCAGGAAGACGGCUCUAUGAGUUGUAAACUGCUUUUGUACGAGGGUAAACGCAGAUACGCGUAUCUGUCUGAAAGUAUCGUACGAAUAAGGAUCGGCUAACUCCGUGCCAGCAGCCGCGGUAAUACGGAGGAUUCAAGCGUUAUCCGGAUUUAUUGGGUUUAAAGGGUGCGUAGGCGGUCGGAUAAGUUAGAGGUGAAAUCCCGAGGCUCAACUUCGGAAUUGCCUCUGAUACUGUUCGGCGAGAGUGUAGUUGCGGUAGGCGGAAUGUGUGGUGUAGCGGUGAAAUGCUUAGAGAUCAUACAGAACACCGAUUGCGAAGGCAGCUUACCAAGCUACUUCUGACGUUGAGGCACGAAAGCGUGGGGAGCAAACAGGAUUAGAUACCCCUGUAGUC